rnacentral:rRNA from 1 species
CAGUAGCCGCGGUAAUACGUAGGGUGCGAGCGUUAAUCGGAAUUACUGGGCGUAAAGCGUGCGCAGGCGGUUUUGCAAGACAGAUGUGAAAUCCCCGGGCUCAACCUGGGAACUGCAUUUGUGACUGCAAGGCUAGAGUGCGGCAGAGGGAGAUGGAAUUCCGCGUGUAGCAGUGAAAUGCGUAGAUAUGCGGAGGAACACCGAUGGCGAAGGCAAUCUCCUGGGCCUGCACUGACGCUCAUGCACGAAAGCGUGGGGAGCAAACAGGAUUAGAUACCCCAGUAGUCCCUGUCUCUUAUAC